CAGACCCAGCACCUUGUCGCUGGGAUUUCGUUUCCCUCCUCAAAUGACAAUUCGCAGCAGACGGCCUUAAUUAUCAACAAUGGGGGAACGGAACCCAUCUAUUAGAGCCAGCAAUUCUGGCUUUGGCUAUUGCUGGUAAAUUAGUGACUGGGCAAAGACCUUUUGUGACUCAUUUCCAUGACCUCUGUUGUAGAGAAGGAAUUAAGAUCGCUGCAAAUAUGACAGGGUAGCGCUGAAAUAUUUUGCUCUCAGAUGAGACGAUAUGAAUCACUGCACAGUAACGCCUGCUAAAUACACCAGCCAUCCAUUUAAGGAUGGCUACCUAGGAUCAACAACGUACAGCGAACAGCUUACUGCACAAAGCGUGGAGGCCUCGCCAAGGCACCCGAGCAGAAGAAAGCUGACUCUAUGGGGGGCAUUGCACCGGAAAUGCUCCGGGGAGAGCAACCUUCUCCUGUAAGAGAACCUCAUGCUUGACAGACCACGUGAAAAGGUGGUGGAAAAUAAGUCCGGAGGUCGACAAACUGGUUUUGACUAGGCUGUGUGAACUUGGGCCAAUCCAUUUAAUUUCAUGAGGUUGUGGUAGUCUUUGACUAAACUUGAGGCUGCAAAUGUUCUUGCUGGGUCCCUGUGUGAACUGGAGCUGGUGCACAGAUCAAAGAUACGGUUCCUGAUCUACAGGUACGGCCCCUGAUCUACAGGUACACCACGGAUCUACAGGUACGGCCCCUGAUCUACAGGUACACCACGGAUCUACAGUAAACAGUUCAGCUUCAGAUUGUGACACGGUUUACCACGGGUACCUUCACUUCGAUUUCCUGUGUGGCCCACUGGGGCACUAUCCCGGAACUCAGUCCACAAGGAAUCGCCCACAUUAAGUUUUGCAUACUGUCAGGACACAUGGGAUUUUUUUUUUCAGCUCUAAGGAAAGGAAAAGGAGGAAGAGGUAUAGUUGAAGCCGCACCCCAUUGUGACAGCCACUAGCCAGCUACCUGCCCUGGUCCCAGAGUUCCAUCACGCUUGCCUAGGAGGGUGGGCAGGUUCUCUGCAGAGGACAUCCCGGUGUGCUGCUCCACCCGCUCCUGGGAACACGCCGCUCAUCAGGCUGCCGGAGAGAAGAAAGAACACACGUCAGUAGCUUCCCCUCUUUCUGCAAUGAGUAGUUUUGUUUUUAACAUCUGCGGUCUGCUUCUGACUCAGUUUGCUUUGACUGGAUGUAUCAGGAAGUACAGCACAGGCUGGCUUAAGUAACUGAGAGACUAGAGGACUCACGGAAGCGGUUUUAAGACUUGAUCCUCAGCGGGCUAACACGGCUGUACCACUGCUGCCCCGGGACCGGUGCCUGCAGCCCGCUCUGCAGCCCUUGGCGUGGGAUUUAGUUUAAGCCUGAUGUCCUUGUGGGGAUAAGACACUUGCAGCCACCACUACAUCUGUCACAUUCUGGGAGAGGCUCUAGAUCAUGCAGAGGAGUGGAGAGACUGUCUCCCCCAAAUCCCAGCAAAACAACCUAUGUCUUGUUUGUCCUGGCGCCAGCAGGACGUAUCACUGUAGUUUGCUGUUUGUGUGUUUGGUUUAUAGCAGAGGAGCCACUGCCCAAUUCAAAGUAAUUACUCAUGGAUUUUCCUCAGAGUUUGUUCUUACACGGAGGGUUGUGGUUCAUUUUUGUCUGCGGUGUGAGGUAGAACUCAAACUUGAUUUGCUUCGUAUAUGUAGCAAACUGUCCCAGGCAUGGCUAGUUGCAGCUAGUUGGGGCUGUGUCAGCUGGGGACAGAUGAUCAGUUGACCUCCCCCCACACCUUCCAGGAGGGAACAUUAACACUCCUCCUGAUCCUGCUCUGAUUUCAGAUAGCACCUUUGUGAAAAACCAACCAACCAUAAACGCAGGGCUUUGUUUGUGACAGCCCCACUGACGUCUGUGUGUAUACCUUUGUGUAACUCUUGCACUGCCGGGAUUAUGGGAGCUUAACAUAAAGCUACGAAAUGAGAAGUUUCGGGUCUUCCGGCUUUCUUAUCUCUUUGGAAACUUUUUUCACUAUUCUGAACCCUGUGAAUUUCUGUGAGUUUUAAGAUGCAGGUGUCAGUUUCUGUCAAAAAGCUGCUGGGAUUUUGACAGGAGUCUUGUUAAACCUGUAGGUCAAGUCAGCAGCCUAGAAGUGCUAAGUCAUCCAACCCAUGAAGCAGACAGCGUUCCUUUUAUUUAUAUUUAUUUUAAACGCAACAAAGCCGCAUGGUUUUUAGCAUACAAGUCACACUGGUUAGUUUUAUAGCAACUUGGCACAUACAGGAAUCACUGGGGGAAACACCCAGAUUGAGGCCUUCCUCCUAUCAGAUCGGCCUGUGGGCAAGAAUGUGGGACAUUUUGUAGAUUAAUGAUAAUUUGGGAGGGCUCAGCUCACUGUGGUGGUGAUUGUAAAGACGGCAAGCUGAGCAAGCCAGUAAGCAGCCCUCCUCCAUGGCCUCUGCUUCAGUUCCUGCCUCCAGCUUCCUGCCCCUGGCUUCCGUCAGUGGUAGACGCUAGCCUGUGAGAUGUAAUAAUCCCUUCCUCCCACCUCAGCUCUCUUGCUGUCUGAUCACGGCAGCAGAAAGCAUCCUGGACUCAUGACUUGCACCUUAUCUAAGGAUAUUUUUUCUGCCUCCAGAUUGCUGCCUUGAGUUCCUGCCCUGACAGCCCUUCAUGGUAGACUAUAAUCUUCAAGCAAAUCCUGUGUGCCUGCAUGCGUGCAUCUCCACGAUUGGCGCCACCUACAGUCUUAAUAGCAAGUGAGCUCAAAGAAUCCGUGUACUAUGCAGGAUCUCUGACUCACAUUAAUACAGCAGGCACCUGUGCAAA